GCCCGUCAGUCGCCCGUACCGCGACUGCGUCGCCGCCACCGGCGCUUGACCUCUUGAAGGCAUCCGUAGUAUUGAGCAUGGCCCGCUGGGAAAUGUAGUCCAAACCGGAAGCUCAAGGGGGCCAAAAACUAUGAAGAAAAAAAUCAGCUUGUGUUGAUUUGGGGGGAUGAAAUACAAGCUACUUUUUCGUAUAUUAAGUAUAUUCCCAUCGUGAGACGAUUCAGAAGCUGUUCUGAAGAUAAAAAAGUACAAGAAACAUUGACAGGAGAAGAUUCAGUAUCCAAACUGUUCCCAGAAAUACUUCCUUAUCAUCUGGAUGUCCUUGUCCAAAAUGUAACCGGAAGAGCUUAUCACCUAAAUUCAAACCUCAGCCCUGCUUGUUUUGAAUUCAUCCACCAUACCACAGUAUACCAGAAGCCCGGAUCACAUGAGAAAACCUGUUAUCAAAGAUAAACCAAGCUGUACAUUA